AUAAAGGAGGCAUUGGUGCAGCUUCUACAUCCACAUCAUCAAUGAGAUAUGAAGGGAAAAAUGGCAUUCCAUACAAUUAUGCCAUGCCUUGGGUGACUUGUCACAAGUGUGGAAAGAAGGGCCAUCUUGCUAAUAAUUGUCCAAUGAAGAAUACUCAAUCAGCAAGCUGGAGAAGGAAGUCAGCUCACAGGCAGUAUGCUGACAACGGAAACAGACAGAAGACAGCUCCGGGACAGUAUGCUGAUA
rnacentral:lncRNA from 1 species